rnacentral:rRNA from 1 species
AAUGAACGUUGGCGGCGUGGAUUAGGCAUGCAAGUCGAACGGGCCCGCAAGGGUCAGUGGCGGAAGGGUGAGUAAGGCGACGGCAACCAACCCCGAGGAUGGGUACAGCCGCGGGAAACUGCGGGUAAUCCCCAGCGAUGCGAGGGCGUCGGCAUCGACGCUUCGCCAAAUGGAUUCGUCCGCUCCGGGACGGGCCGUCGUGGUAUUAGGUUGUUGGCGGGGUAACGGCCCACCAAGCCUGCGAUGCCUACCGGGCGUGCGAGCGUGGCCCGGCACACUGGGACUGAGACACUGCCCAGACUCCUACGGGAGGCUGCAGUCGAGAAUCUUCGGCAAUGGGCGCAAGCCUGACCGAGCGACGCCGCGUGGAGGACGAAGGCCUUCGGGUUGUAAACUCCUGUCGAGGGGGAGAAAGGCUCCGCGAGGGGCUUGAUCGAUCCCUGGAGGAAGCACGGGCUAAGUUCGUGCCAGCCGCCGCCGUAACAC